AAAUGGACCAAGUCCCACCAAAAUCUGCAAGAAGGAGAUGUCGUCCUCCUCAAGGACAACCUAGUUGUCCGCAACAACUGGCCUAUGGCGAUAAUCACAAAGGCUAUUCCUGGAGAAGACGGGAAAGUCCGUAAGGUGGAAUUGAAGACCACAGAUCAAGGACAUUCAAAAAAGUACCUUAGACCAGUGACAGAACUUGUUUUGCUUCUGAGUAAAGAAUGAUGUUCAUAUGUUUAGUUAAUACAUAAUUUGUUAAGUGUAGUGACCUCACAGAUGCCAGGCGGGGAGUGUGUUGCCAUUAAGGCAAAAUGUUAAGGACUUUUAUUUUGAUACGAUGUAGACCUGGAGUUCGGGGUUAGAGGUUAUUUCCUGUAUAGAAGAAAGGAAGCUGACAGUAUGUGUGCACUUGUAAUCCAUCUGUUGUUAGCACUAGAAGCAAUGUCUUUUCACUCUGUCAUGUAAGAUGAUGUUGAAAGCCACAGUAAACAGCAAGAAAUCGCUCA